UACGUAGGGAGCGAGCGUUGUCCGGAAUUACUGGGUGUAAAGGGUGCGUAGGCGGGUCAGCAAGUCAGGCGUGAAAUACCGGGGCUCAACUCCGGGGCUGCGCUUGAAACUGUUGGUCUUGAGUGAAGUAGAGGCAGGCGGUAUUCCUAGUGUAGCGGUGAAAUGCGUAGAUAUUAGGAGGAACACCAGUGGCGAAGGCGGCCUGCUGGGCUUUAACUGACGCUGAUGCACGAAAGCAUGGGGAGCAAACAGG
rnacentral:rRNA from 1 species